CAAAAGGCGAGAGCUGGUUUUCAGAGACUUCCAUUACCUUUUACCCGUUCCGAACUCACUCAACACUCAUCACGAUGGAUCGGUAUCAGAGGGUAGAGAAACCGUGGCCAAAGACGCCGAUUAAGAAUGAGAUUCGUAUAACCACUUAGGGAAGGAUGAGGAACUACAUUAUUUAUGCUACCACUCUGUUUAAGGGUCUUGGAAGAUAAUCAGCUUGAAGGACCUCUUCAUCAAAACCUUGGAAAUUUGAGCUGCAUGAGGAGGCUGUAAGAAAGUUCUUUCUUUUUGUUUUAAACUUAAUACUUUUUUCUAAAGUAUACACUUGAAUAUACCGAAUUACAUG